rnacentral:rRNA from 1 species
GGGUGCUUACACAUGCAAGUCGAACGGUGAAGCAGGAGCUUGCUCUUGUGGAUCAGUGGCGAACGGGUGAGUAACACGUGAGCAACCUGCCCCUGACUCUGGGAUAAGCGCUGGAAACGGCGUCUAAUACUGGAUAUGUGACGUGACCGCAUGGUCUGCGUUUGGAAAGAUUCUUCGGUUGGGGAUGGGCUCGCGGCCUAUCAGCUUGUUGGUGAGGUAAUGGCUCACCAAGGCGUCGACGGGUAGCCGGCCUGAGAGGGUGACCGGCCACACUGGGACUGAGACACGGCCCAGACUCCUACGGGAGGCAGCAGUGGGGAAUAUUGCACAAUGGGCGAAAGCCUGAUGCAGCAACGCCGCGUGAGGGAUGACGGCCUUCGGGUUGUAAACCUCUUUUAGCAGGGAAGAAGCGAAAGUGACGGUACCUGCAGAAAAAGCGCCGGCUAACUACGUGCCAGCAGCCGCGGUAAUACGUAGGGCGCAAGCGUUAUCCGGAAUUAUUGGGCGUAAAGAGCUCGUAGGCGGUUUGUCGCGUCUGCUGUGAAAUCCCGAGGCUCAACCUCGGGCCUGCAGUGGGUACGGGCAGACUAGAGUGCGGUAGGGGAGAUUGGAAUUCCUGGUGUAGCGGUGGAAUGCGCAGAUAUCAGGAGGAACACCGAUGGCGAAGGCAGAUCUCUGGGCCGUAACUGACGCUGAGGAGCGAAAGGGUGGGGAGCAAACAGGCUUAGAUACCCUGGUAGUCCACCCCGUAAACGUUUGGGAACUAGUUGUGGGGUCCAUUCCACGGAUUCCGUGACGCACUAACGCAUUAAGUUCCCCGCCUGGGGAGUACGGCCGCAAGGCUAAAACUCAAAGGAAUUGACGGGGACCCGCACAAGCGGCGGAGCAUGCCGAUUAAUUCCAUGCAACGCGAAGAACCUUACCAAGGCUUGACAUAUACGAGAACGGCCAAAAUGGUCAACUCUUUGGACACUCUUAACAGGUGGUGCAU